UACGUAGGGUGCAAGCGUUGUCCGGAAUUAUUGGGCGUAAAGAGCUUGUAGGCGGUUUGUCGCGUCUGCUGUGAAAUUUCGGGGCUCAACCCCGAACUUGCAGUGGGUACGGGCAGACUAGAGUGUGGUAGGGGAGACUGGAAUUCCUGGUGUAGCGGUGAAAUGCGCAGAUAUCAGGAGGAACACCGAUGGCGAAGGCAGGUCUCUGGGCCACUACUGACGCUGAGAAGCGAAAGCAUGUGGAGCGAACAGG
rnacentral:rRNA from 1 species